GUGGACGCUGGAUGUGGGGCCCAUUCCACGGGUUCCGUGUCGGAGCUAACGCGUUAAGCGUCCCGCCUGGGGAGUACGGCCGCAAGGCUAAAACUCAAAGAAAUUGACGGGCGCCCGCACAAGCGGCGGAGCAUGCGGAUUAAUUCGAUGCAACGCGAAGAACCUUACCUGGGCUUGACAUGUGCCUGUCGACUGCAGAGAUGUGGUUUCCCUUCGGGGCAGGUUCACAGGUGGUGCAUGGUCGUCGUCAGCUCGUGUCGUGAGAUGUUGGGUUAAGUCCCGCAACGAGCGCAACCCUCGCCCUGUGUUGCCAGCGGGUUAUGCCGGGAACUCACGGGGGACCGCCGGGGUUAACUCGGAGGAAGGUGGGGAUGACGUCAGAUCAUCAUGCCCCUUACGUCCAGGGCUUCACGCAUGCUACAAUGGCCGGUACAACGGGAUGCGACAAGGUGACAUGGAGCGGAUCCCUUAAAACCGGUCUCAGUUCGGAUCGUAGUCUGCAA
rnacentral:rRNA from 1 species